rnacentral:rRNA from 1 species
CUACGGGGGGCAGCAGUGAGGAAUAUUGCACAAUGGGGGGAACCCUGAUGCAGCAACGCCGCGUGGAGGAUGACGCAUUUCGGUGUGUAAACUCCUUUUAUAUGUCAAGAAAAUGACGGUAGCAUAUGAAUAAGCACCGGCUAACUCCGUGCCAGCAGCCGCGGUAAUACGGAGGGUGCAAGCGUUACUCGGAAUCACUGGGCGUAAAGGACGCGUAGGCGGGUUGGAAAGUCAGGUGUGAAAUCCUACAGCUUAACUGUAGAACUGCACUUGAAACUUCUAAUCUAGAGUAUGGGAGGGGGAGAUGGAAUUAGUGGUGUAGGGGUAAAAUCCGUAGAUAUCACUAGGAAUACCUAAAGCGAAGGCGAUCUCCUGGAACAUUACUGACGCUAAGGCGUGAAAGCGUGGGGAGCAAACAGGAUUAGAUACCCCUGUAGUC